UUUUCCUUUUUUGUUUGUUGGGUUUCCUUUUAUUUUUUUCCCUUUUCCAUUCUUUAAGAUAAUUGUUUCCACGUGAUUUGAUGGCAAGAGCCACCAUAUUUGUGUUAGUUUUUUCUCUCUUCUUCUGUUGGCGAAUCGUUUACCACUUCUUUUUUUUCUUCUACAUACCUUUAAUGUCGUUCCUACCCUUUUCCUCCCACUGCCUCUUAUAUAGCUACCAUCGUUCCAGUUUCUUCCGCUCGACUUUUUCGUCUGGGUUUACAGCUUCAUCUCAAACAUUUCUUUCCUCUCGAUCCUUUCUGACUGCCAAUACGACCACUGUUUGGUUUUCUCCUUUUCGUUUAAAACUUUACCCAUUUUACUUGCUUUAAUUUUCAGUCAACACCGCCUUUGAUACUCUAUUAGAAUGGUUACAGAGCUGCUUCACUGACAUCUGUUGUGCUUCAUGUUUCGUUCAUGUAUGAAUUCCUUUCUCUUAUCUCUAUGAAUCAAUCUCCUCCUAAUUUCUUUCAUCUUCAACCAUCAAUUUACUACUCUACUUUGACUUCUCUCCAUCUUCUACGUCUUCUCUCCUAAAGGAUUACCAGAACACCCGCCACCACAAUAUUUUCGGCAUAUUCACUAUUUCCAUCCCUAGUUGAUGCCACCGUUUUUCUUGGCCAAUACUUCCACCACCAUCGUUUUCAAUAUGUUUUCAUAAAUUCUUUGGGAUCCUUCUUUUUUUCUUCACUUUCGAGUUUUUGGGUUUCAGCUUUCCAGUGCGUUUUAGUCCAAUGGUUUAAUGUGUUGAUUUCUCUUCUCGAUUUCUGUCACCAACGGCCAUUUUUUUUCUUCUUAUGUUGUUCUAUUACUUCGAUUGUAUUAUUCUGUCAGUGGAAUUUUAUAUGACAGAUUGAGGGUAAUAUAUAUAGAUGGAAAAGGAGAAUGGAGAAAGGGAAAGGUUCAGGUCUCUAUCCUGAUAUAGGCAAAAAAGCAGAGUAAGGAAAGCCUCGCAGUAGCAACAACUGCAGCCAUGGCUGAUAAGUAUGGAAUUCAAGUCCGUGAAUCUUUCAAGACAAGACCACCAACGCCAACACCAUACAGAUUCUAUGAAACUGCCUUCCAACCAACAAUGACAAGACGAUAAGCAACUAUAAUUGUUGAUGUUAGGCAGAUCAGAUGAUCGCGGGAAGGCAAAGGCGUGAUCGUACAACUCCUCACAUUUUAUGAUUUUCAUUUCUGGGAUACUCUGACUUGAAAAUAUUUUGAAAACACUUUGUAAUAAUUGAUGGUUUUAAUAGGUUGAAAAAGUUUAAAAUUAGCUUGA